GGGCUCGCUUCGGCAGCACAUAUAGUAAAAUUGGAAUGAUACAGAGAAGAUUAGCAUGGCCCCUGCGCAAGGAUGACACGGAAAAAAAAAAAAGAGAACUAUCCAAUU
rnacentral:snRNA from 1 species